rnacentral:rRNA from 1 species
AUACGUAGGGGGCAAGCGUUGUCCGGAUUUACUGGGUGUAAAGGGAGCGUAGGCGGCAAGGCAAGUCUGAUGUGAAAACCCGGGGCUCAACCCCGGGACUGCAUUGGAAACUGCUUAGCUAGAGUGUCGGAGAGGUAAGUGGAAUUCCUAGUGUAGCGGUGGAAUGCGUAGAUAUUAGGAGGAACACCAGUGGCGAAGGCGACUUACUGGACGAUAACUGACGCUGAGGCUCGAAAGCGUGGGGAGC